GUGCUCGCUUUGGCAGCACAUAUACUAAAAUUUGUAUGAUACAGAGAUUAGUUAGCAUGGCUCCUGAGCAAGGAUGACAUGCAAAUUCGUGAAGUGUUCCAUAUUUUU